UCUCUGAAAAUGAGAAAGGAGGAAGUUUACACAGCAGCUGGGACAUCCGUUAGGGAGUACAUGGUAAAAAUGGGCCUUGGAUGACUCAUUCGGGACAGGUGAUCCUUACAUUUCUUUGAGCACUGGGAUGUGGUUAUCAGAGCCACUUCUAUGGCAAGGCCAGGCUUAAAGUGCACAUUUUCCAUGCUCUUGUCUGGCUUGUCCCCAUUUGUAUCUGAUCCUGGGUAGCGGGCACUUGUAGCAUACUUGAUCUCCGUCCAGCAGAGAUGUGAGCAGGAAAUCUAAGUGCCUCUUGUUUUUCUUUACCUAAGCUGUUGUGAAAUCAGGUAUGUGACUCUGCAUCAGAAAAAAAAUAAUAUCCUGAUCUGUCUCUGGGAAAAGAAUUCCUAGUGUGCUUAUGGCUUAAAAUGUGUUUUCAUGCAUACUUUUUAGAUUCUGGUGGUUUUGACACCUUGAGGCUUAAUUUCCAGCAGUGAUUAGAUCACAGCAUGUGACCUGGCCUCUGAAGAGCCUCUGUCCUAGUGGGGAAGCAGCUUUCUUUAGUCACUCACAAAGAGGAGUGAUAUUGAUGGGGAAAAGCCUAGGAUGGUAAAUAUACAAUUGAUCCUUGAACAACAUGAAUUUGAACUGCCCAGGUCCACUUAUACAUGGAUUUUUUUCAAUAGUAAACACUACAGUACCAUGCAAGUGGUUAGUUGAACCUGCAGAUGUGGAACAGAUAUGGAGGGCUGACAUAAAUUAUGUGUGGAUUUUUCAACUGCAUGGUCAGUGCCCCUAACCCUUUGCAUUGUUCAGGGGUCAGCAGUAUACUUGUGCUGGGUGACAACAGGUAUACUUCACUAAUUGUAGGUGAUGCAGUCCCAGAGGUUAACUGAAACGCAAGUUUCUGUUCGUCAAGGGGUUUGGGGUCAGAAGGCUCAAAAGAGGGCCUUUUUCAACAAGUCUCGUGAGAGGGUGCCUAACACAGUGCCUGGCAUAUAAGCGCCAGUGUCUGUGGAAUGAAUCAUAGUGCAUGAGCUGCACCUUCUUUCCUUGGCAGAGCUAUUAGGCAGUAAACACUUGUAGAAUAAUGGGAUUGUACUAGGUUUUUCCUAGCUCUAAAACCCCAUUUAUUUACUGAUCCAUUCACAGAGGAUUCCUUGAUCCAACCAAGUUAUUUGCCAUAAUGUUGCUUGAUGACCUCUUUGAAGAAAAAGAGACUGUGGGCUAGAUGCUUGUACCUUUAAUAAGAUUUGCCGUUCGUGGAAUAACUUACGGGUGUUAACAGAAUGAAGUCUGUUCCCUGGAGGGAAGUUUCUGUGGCCCUGACCUGCUGGACAUUUAACAGUGAUGAAGUCAAAGAAGGUGUAUUUAACAUACCUGCAGAGGACCCAACCUGGAAAUAGCUAAUUUGACUACUACCCAUAAGUUUUAGCCUGGAUUGAUCAUUUUUGCUGAAUCAGUUAUCAGGAUGGCUGCAAAAUGGUGAGUGAUUUUCUAACUAACUCCCAUAAUUUCUUAUACAGUUAUCAUGGUAUUCUAUUAUGUGGAGAGGCUUUCUUUUCCAUUAAAAAUUGUGUUCAUUUAGUUAUCAGUAUGGACUCAUAGAUUCUUAUCCUGUGAACAUUGUUAUCAUUUAUUUUGAUACUCAGAUUGUACCACGUUUGGUCAAUCUGAGUUCCUUCAAGCUAGCUCCUGUAUCCCCAUCAUUUUAAGGGUGCUUCCUUAACUUCUGCCACAAGAUAUUCUAGCUGUCUUGUACUUUGCCUGCUCCAGCCCUGGAAUCAGCCUUUUAUCCAAGGAGCCUGGAUAGGUGGCAAAUGAUGGGCCCAAACCAAGAAGUGAAAUACCAUCCUGACAAUUAAGACAGGGCCUUCGGCUGCACUCAG